AAAUUGAAGAGUUUGAUCAUGGCUCAGAUUGAACGCUGGCGGCAGGCCUAACACAUGCAAGUCGAACGGUAACAGGAAGCAGCUUGCUGCUUUGCUGACGAGUGGCGGACGGGUGAGUAAUGUCUGGGAAACUGCCCGAUGGAGGGGGAUAACUACUGGAAACGGUAGCUAAUACCGCAUAACGUCGCAAGACCAAAGAGGGGGACCUUAGGGCCUCUUGCCAUCGGAUGUGCCCAGAUGGGAUUAGCUAGUAGGUGGGGUAAUGGCUCACCUAGGCGACGAUCCCUAGCUGGUCUGAGAGGAUGACCAGCCACACUGGAACUGAGACACGGUCCAGACUCCUACGGGAGGCAGCAGUGGGGAAUAUUGCACAAUGGGCGCAAGCCUGAUGCA
rnacentral:rRNA from 1 species